CAAUAGCGUAUAUUAAAGUUGUUGCAGUUAAAAAGCUCGUAGUUGGAUUUGUGGCGUACGGUGUGUUCCGGGCACUUGUUGUCUGAGUAACCUGCUGUUGCCAUCCUUGGGUGGAACCUGUGUGGCAUUAGGUUGUCGUGCAGGGGAUGCCCAUCACUUACUGUGAAAAAAUUAGAGUGUUCAAAGCAGGCUUAUGCCGUUGAAUAUAUUAGCAUGGAAUAAUGAGAUAGGACUUUUUUGCUAUUUUGUUGGUUUGCGCAAAGAGGUAAUGAUUAAUAGGGACAGUUGGGGGUAUUCGUAUUCCAUUGUCAGAGGUGAAAUUCUUGGAUUUUUGGAAGACGAACUACUGCGAAAGCAUUUACCAAGGAUGUUUUCAUUAA
rnacentral:rRNA from 1 species